rnacentral:rRNA from 1 species
CACGAACCGUACGAACGUUAUUCGGAAUUACUGGGCUUAAAGGGUUUGUAGGCGGCCAUGUAAGUGGGGUGUGAAAGCCCUCGGCUCAACCGAGGAAUAGCGCUCCAAACUGCAUGGCUUGAGGGAGACAGGGGUAAGCGGAACUGAUGGUGGAGCGGUGAAAUGCGUUGAUAUCAUCAGGAACACCGGUGGCGAAAGCGGCUUACUGGGUCUCUUCUGACGCUGAGAAACGAAAGCUAGGGUAGCGAACGGG